GCUUCCUACGAAAACAAAAACAAGCAUCCAUGGCCAAGAGUAAAACACCAUGGGGAAUUUAUAAUAGUAACAAUGUAGCUGAACCUCCAGCACUAUCACGACCUCCUAGUAACAAAGCUUUUUCAUGCAGUGGGCCUUUCAUCAGUGUUGUUGAUUGAAUGACUGACUGCUAUCCAGAUAGUUCUGCUGCUGUGGUUCAGACCAAUUGUUUAGAAGAAAGAAUGCUUCAGACUCACAGGAUGACAUGUUAAGAGAUACUAAAACCAGGCCUUACCUUCCCGAGUUGCUGCUCUGUGAGAGAAAAUGCGUCCAUGAAGGCCUGGGCAAUCACAGAUAAACAGCCGUCUAUGUGUGGUGUCUUCUUAAUGUCAAAGACAAACUGAGGGUUCUUCAGGAUGUUUACCCAGAAGCGAAGAGGAAGGCUGUUCCGAGAGAGAAAUCUCUUUUCAAGUAUAGCCCUUCGUAGGAGGCGGAUGCUCUGUUUAUCACAGUUUGCAUACGGACGUUUUUGCCCUUGUUAUUGAAGUAUGCAAGUCUGCUUUGCCAAAUAUACCAAGCAACAGAUGGCAGCACCACUCAGAGCAAGAAAGGGUUAAACUGACAAGCGCCACUGAAGGGAGGACUAGAACGGGAGAAAUUCAAAGGUGGCCGUUGACGAGAAUUUUCUCCCGAUAGUUCUAGAUUCUAGCAGGCGACGGUUGCCCAUGAAAACGUUUCAUCACGUGUCUGGAACCUGACCUCUUCUCACCCCCUCUAAGUGCCACACCCUGGCCUAAGCCGCCUGCAUUAUUAGCCCCCAGCUCCCCACAGGUAAUUGUCCCACAACUAUCAGCAAUCUUAACACAGAGUCAGAUCAGGUCUCUCCUCUGCUCAGAACCCUCUGUGCUCUCCAUCCCCCUCGGGAUAAAGCCCCUGCGUGAUCUGGGCCUGGGUCCUCAUCUGUUACUCUUCACCUUUUUCAUUCCAACCCACCGUGGGCCUCUUGGCUGGUCUUCAUGCAUCCCAGGCAAGGCUGCACCUCAGGACUUCUGCCCAUCUUCCGGAAACUGCCUUUAGCCAGACAGUCUCAAGGUGUAUGUCCUCACCUCUUUCAAGACCUGACUCAAAUGUCAUCAUCUCCUUGAGGCCUUCUCUGACCACUGUCCUGUUACUCUCUAUCCUUCUUUUCUGCUUUGUCCACUGUACUAACCUUCUAAUAUACUACUAAUUUACCUAUUUAUCAUCUCUUCCACCCAUUAGAAUGCAAGCUCUCUGAGAACAGGGAUUUUUGUUCAGUUUACUGUUACAUCUCCAGCACCUAACAGUGCUUGGCAUAUAGUAGGUACUCAGAUACUUGAAUAUGAACUUGGGAAUCAUUCAGAGUCCUUCCAUUAUCUCAACUCUGGCCUAGCAAAUUACCUCCAUCAUAAGGAUGCUGGGCCUCUCCUCAGCUCUACUGUCCUGGCUACUGCCCCUGCUCAGAUGCCACCCUCUUCACAGUGAAAAGGGGAGCCUACAGCAGCAGCACCUGGGAUUAAGAGGCUAGAGCACAGGAUGGGAGGGAGCCAGGGUAGAUGCUGGGACAGACCCGGAUUCAAUGGGAGAAGAUGAGACCUAGAGCUCUGGCACUUCAGCUUGUAAUACUUCCUUAAAAUGGUCUGUGGGCCCUCAGUGUUCGGGAGGGCUUGCGAUUGUGCCAGAAAGUUCUAUCAUGUCUUAACACCGAGUCUUACUCAGUUCAUACACAGAACAUUUCAAAUAGAGGUAAUGAGCUGUUUCUUUACUGAGGAGAAAUUUAGAACAAACCUGGAUGCCUUGCCAGGCAACCAGGUAAAACGUUAGAAAACAGAACAGUCCUUUGACUAAUUCUCAUGAUAUCUGAGUACUGCACUCGCUCAAAUAAAAGUAGAAAUGUCUAUGUAGAAUCAGAAUUCAGACAGUUUGGUAACUGCAAAGGGAUUAAGUAUUCUCUAAUGGAAAAUUAUAUAAUAAAACCACAAAAUACGAAUUUCUCAUCUUUUGCCGGUCAGGUUAACAUUCCUUACAAGGUCUUUUUCAUGCGUUAAAGAUAAUAAGGUUUGUUUAUGUUAUCUUAAAGAAUAGGAUCACAGCAUAGGAAGGGUUUUGUUCUUGUUAAAAAAUAGUAACAGAGGAAGAAUCUGCUUUGACAUGAUAGCUUACCAAGCCAAAAGAUUCUGAUCUAGGGAUAAUGAAUCCUUCUGUAACUAUCCAUGCCCUCCUUUUGGUUAAGAUUCUGUCCCAGAUUCUUGAAAACAGUCAGUAAUCACAUACUGUUUGUUCCCACCUGUUUGUUUUCCAAAUAUGUACGACAUCAGGAUCUGUGAUUUUUUUGUUUUCAGCCUGGGCAUCCAAAAAGUCAAAAAAGUAUUUUAUAGCAAAUGGGGCUCUGCUGUUGGGUAAACUCCAAAUGCUUCUAAAAAGUUUUUCAAGCACAGAAUGAAUUGCCACCUGAAAGACAGCAUCAGACGUGGGAGAUUUAAAAAAUAGGGUAACAGUUUUGAAUACAAUAGAAAGUGAAAUGCCAGUUCAGAGAAAAUGAUGUACAAAACAGAAACAAAACCUGAAGAGAAAAUAUGUAAAAUUAUCAAAUGAGGCCAACACUCCAUGUGGGUCAAGCAUCCUGAAAAUCCAUGCCCCGGUUUAGGUUUAGUCAACAAUGAGGGUAUCGUAGAAGUCUCCAGCAGUUGAAAUGUCAGUUGUAGGGCUGCGUGCAUAGAUCAAGAAGCCAUGGAUGUUUAGCUUUUAUUAGUUAUGUUCAGCCUAGAAAAACUCAAUGUUGCUCAGUUCCCAGAAUUGUUCCUGUUGCAUGUAUUUCCAUCAGAGGUUUUUAUUCUCUACUUUCCAAAGCAUCUGGGUGUUUUACAAAAGACAAAUAGGCAGAUCUCUGUGGGACAGAUGAGAAAAUCAAGAGGCUCUGGCUGUCCUUUAGCCACUAAACAAAUUUACUGAGCUCUCAGCAUACCCUCUGCUAUAAUCUGAAGAAGCAUGCCCAUCAGGAGACCAGGGCCAGGUGUAGAUAAUAGCAUUUAUAUUGCUAGUCAUUUCAGGGGGAAAAAAAAGGAUCACCACAGACUUCUGUUAAUCUCACUAAAAGCCAGAUAAAGUAAAAUUUGCUUCUGAUUUGGUAUUCCAACAGCUUUCACAUCUGACACUUUUACAUGUGAACAGAAUUCUUAACUUUAAAGUGGAAAAAUAAAAAAAGAUUUAGUAGGUUUACCGUCACUGACCCCACCCUUCAUUUUAUUUGCAAUUCAAAGGGAGUUUUAUUGCUCCUCUAUAAGAACAAAGAAAAACGAAUAAUUACAACAUGAACCUAAGAAAAUAACAAUAGUGAAAUGGUGGGUAAAGGACUGGGAACAAUAUUAAAUCCCUGAUUGAAGAUACUACA